CCCCUAGAUGUUCUGGGCCGCACGCGCGCUACACUGAACAGUUCAACAAGUCUUAACCUUGGCCGAUAGGUCUGGGUAAUCUUUGAACGCUGUUCGUGAUUGGGAUAGACCUUUGCAAUUAUGGGUCUUCAACGAGGAAUUCCUAGUAAACGCAAGUCAUCAGCUUGCAUUGAUUACGUCCCUGCCCUUUGUACACACCGCCCGUCGCACCUACCGAUUGAAUGGUCCGGUGAAUUAGUCGGAUGGUGUUUGGCAUCAGUAUCUGCUGUCAUACGCCAGAAGUCUUGUGAACCUUAUCACUUAGAGGAAGGAGAAGUCGUAACA
rnacentral:rRNA from 1 species